AAAGCAGGAUGAGGGCAUUCUCUAAACAUUUACAUAAAUCUUUCUCAACUCUCAUAAAUGGAUUCUCCAAAAAACUGAGUAUAAGAAGUUAUGUCAUUUUUGGCUUU